rnacentral:rRNA from 1 species
GACGAACGCUGGCGGCGUGCCUAAUACAUGCAAGUAGAACGCUGAAGAGAGGAGCUUGCUCUUCUUGGAUGAGUUGCGAACGGGUGAGUAACGCGUAGGUAACCUGCCUGGUAGCGGGGGAUAACUAUUGGAAACGAUAGCUAAUACCGCAUAAAAUUGAUUAUUGCAUGAUAAUUAAUUGAAAGAUGCAACUGCAUCACUACCAGAUGGACCUGCGCUGUAUUAGCUAGUUGGUGAGGUAACGGCUCACCAAGGCGACGAUACAUAGCCGACCUGAGAGGGUGAUCGGCCACACUGGGACUGAGACACGGCCCAGACUCCUACGGGAGGCAGCAGUAGGGAAUCUUCGGCAAUAGGGGGAACCCUGACCGAGCAACGCCGCGUGAGUGAAGAAGGUUUUCGGAUCGUAAAGCUCUGUUGUAAGAGAAGAACGGGUGUGAGAGUGGAAAGUUCACACUGUGACGGUAUCUUACCAGAAAGGGACGGCUAACUACGUG